GGCGGGGUGGUGCAACGGUAGCACGUCGCGCUCUGAACGCGAAAUUUUUGGUUCGAAUCCAGACCCCGCAACCA
rnacentral:tRNA from 1 species